rnacentral:rRNA from 1 species
GCCCGUGGCUUCGGCCACGAGCGGCGCACGGGUGAGUAACGCGUGGGAACCUGCCCCGGGGUGGGGGAUAACCGGUGGAAACGCCGGCUAAUACCGCAUACGGCCUUCGGGCGAAAGAUUGAUCGCCCUGGGAGGGGCCCGCGUCCGAUUAGCUAGUUGGUGGGGUAACGGCCUACCAAGGCGACGAUCGGUAGCUGGUCUGAGAGGAUGGCCAGCCACACUGGGACUGAGACACGGCCCAGACUCCUACGGGAGGCAGCAGUGGGGAAUAUUGGACAAUGGGGGCAACCCUGAUCCAGCAAUGCCGCGUGAGUGAUGAAGGCCUUAGGGUUGUAAGGCUCUUUCGGCGGGGACGAUGAUGACGGUACCCGCAGAAGAAGCCCCGGCUAACUUCGUGCCAGCAGCCGCGGUAAUACGAAGGGGGCGAGCGUUGUUCGGAAUUACUGGGCGUAAAGGGCGCGCAGGCGGUCCUUCAAGUCAGAUGUGAAAGCCCCGGGCUCAACCUGGGAACAGCAUUUGAGACUGGAGGACUUGAGGACGGGAGAGGAGAGUGGAAUUCCCAGUGUAGAGGUGAAAUUCGUAGAUAUUGGGAAGAACACCAAUGGCGAAGGCAGCUCUCUGGACCGUUACUGACGCUGAGGCGCGAAAGCGUGGGGAGCAGACAGGAUUAGAUACCCUGGUAGUCCACGCCGUAAACGAUGUGUGCUAGACGUUGGGGGACCUAGUCUCUCGGUGUCGCAGCUAACGCUUUUAGCACACGGCCUGGGGAGUAACGGCGCAAAGUUAAAACUCAAAGGAGGUGACGGGGGGCCCGCCCAAGCGGGGGGAGCGUGGGGGUUUAAUUCGACGCGAACGCGCAGAAACCUUACCAGCCCUUGGCUUGGCCCCGAACGGGGCCGAAAAAAU